UAGUGAUACGGAAACAUUGGAUUGAUUUAAAAGCAGCCCACUGGCAGCUUUCCACCCAUGGCUUUGGAAAGAAAGAACCAUUGUCACCCCCACCCCUGCUGUGUUUAAGCUGACAACAUCUGCACCGACCAUUUAUUCCUGUCUUCACCUGUGACAAGGAUCGCUGGGUUACUGUGAAGAUGUGACAGAAGCUUUGUGCUGCAGUCGCUAUGAGGACACUAAGGCUUUUUUUGGUAACCCUGGCGCUGCUGGUGCUGGAAAGUCAGGGUUUUGAACUGCAGGAUACGAUCCAUGCGCUGAUAGAGGAGAACAUCCACCUCCAUGACCAGCUGGAGAACCUCACCAAGGCCCUCAGAGAGCUCAAACGGAUGCUGUGGCUUCACUCAAAUGACCCAGAUCAUCACCAUGAACAUCAUGAUGAAGAUGUCCAGCAUCUGUGGGACGAAUGGUCAGAACAUGGUAUCAGUGCAGAAACCCACCUCCUGCUGGAAAACACCUUUUGUGGGCAUGACCUGCAUGGCUCAGCAGCUCCUCUCCACGGACACGGAGCCCACCUCCUCCUCUUGCUGAUGCUCCUGAUGAUAAUGAUGAGAUGCUUGUAGGUUGCAGCGGUCCGAUGUCAGAUCUGUAGCUGCUGUCUAUGUGAGAAAAGUUGAGUCAGCGCCUCAUGGCCGCUGCAGGCUGUAUUGUGCAAUUUAAUAUGGUUGAACAGCGAGUGUCAAUGCCACCGCUCUUCCUGUUCAGAGGAAUUAUUGAGCCGACAAGAUUUGAAGAGUUGACCCGUCAAUCCUGCGUACAAAUCACCUCUGGGGAGGAUUCACUGGAGCGAAAAGUUAAUGUGGGUGUAGAGAAAGCAGACUGAGAGCAGGUUAAACACAGGGAGUUGCCUUACUUUUUAGCCAUUUAUUGUAUUAAUGAAAUACAAUAAAUGUUUAUAACUAAGCUGAACUCAGAAAGUUGGUCUUUGUAACUCUAAAUGGAAAUGCUGUCAACUUUACUGAAUAAUAAAGCUAACUGUGCUAAUUUUUGUGUUUGCCUGAGUACAGCUGAAGCCACUUUACCUGC